CCACCUUAUUCCGGUCGGCAUACGGGGUGCAGUCAAUUUAAGGUUAGUCUUAGCCCACCUUUGGCGAAAGGCGAAAAUUUAAGAGGAUAAGCGAUGGCUUGGGUGUCACUUUCCGGACCAUCGUCGAAAACCAAUAAGCGACUAAGCAUGUAGAAAGCAUAUGGAUUCCGUGUUUGGACCAGGGUUCGAUUCCCUGCUGCUCCAC
rnacentral:tmRNA from 1 species